rnacentral:rRNA from 1 species
GACGGACGCUGGCGGCGUGCUUAACACAUGCAAGUCGAACGGAAAGGCCCUGCUUUUGUGGGGUGCUCGAGUGGCGAACGGGUGAGUAACACGUGAGUAACCUGCCCUUGACCUUGGGAUAACUUCAGGAAACUGGGGCUAAUACCGGAUAGGAGCUCCUGCUGCAUGGUGGGGGUUGGAAAGUUUCGGCGGUUGGGGAUGGACUCGCGGCUUAUCAGCUUGUUGGUGGGGUAGUGGCUUACCAAGGCUUUGACGGGUAGCCGGCCUGAGAGGGUGACCGGCCACAUUGGGACUGAGAUACGGCCCAGACUCCUACGGGAGGCAGCAGUGGGGAAUAUUGCACAAUGGGCGGAAGCCUGAUGCAGCAACGCCGCGUGCGGGAUGACGGCCUUCGGGUUGUAAACCGCAUUCGCCUGUGACGAAGCGUGAGUGACGGUAAUGGGUAAAGAAGCACCGGCUAACUACGUG